UGGUCUGCACCCCCUCAUUGACUGCCCCCACCCGUUUGGGAGCCCUCAAUCCCCAUUUGGGAACCCUCAAAGAGGCAGCACCUCACCCCAUUCCCCAGACCACCAAGAUCAUUCUGUGGGGUAGAAACCUCAACAGGGCUGACUGGGGACGGGGGGUGGGGGGGAGGUAUGACAUGUGCUGGUCAGUUAGGGAGGACACAGACAUCCCAAAACAUCUAAAGGCUGUCCCCACACCCAAAAUCCCUGCAGGGCAUCAGUGCUGGGAACGAGGAGAUGGAUGAGACCCUCUAUAUGAAACAUUUGUGAAGCUGUUGGGGGCUGCCCCCUCCCUCUCCUGCUCCCCAUAAUCCCCUUCAUGGGGUUUCUUUACUGGGGGAGUUGGAUGAUUUGGGUUUAUUUGGUUUGGGGAGAAAUCCUGUUCCAGACUUCUCCAUUCUUGCUCAUCCCCUGCAGGAUCUGAGCCAAUACUUUUUUUAAAGAGAGGAAUGAGGUACUCGCAGUGAGAUAGCAGCCACAGGACACCUAAAGGUUUCAGAGAAAAAUAAUUUAUUGCUCUCUUAUCAGAAGAAACUAUCUUCUUCCAGUCUCGAUCAGCCCUGAGGAUGCCAUCAAGAUUAAGAUGAAGUUGACACUGACCAGAGAGAAUCCCUUGUUUCAAUGGAAGUUAUGCACCAUUGGUUGCUUCCAACAAAGGCUUAUCAUCAUCAUCACUGUCCUUUGAACAACCCCACAGAUUCCAUAUUGAGAAUUGCCCCACACUGGAUCAUCCCAAGGCUGCUUCUCCAUUGGGAGUCUUCCCAACUUUUUUCGUCCCAAGGACAAUUCUGUUUUGGGAUAUUGCUAAUCUCAAUACUCCAUCCUGUAUCCUAUUUUCUCAUGAACAUCGGAAAACAUCUGUUUUGCGACACUAAUUACAUAUCCUUUUCCUCUAUUAUUUUUUAGCAAAUAUUUUCUAAAAUAUCAAUAUAGUUACAAUUGCUAGCACAAAUCAUAUUCAUUUAUCACAUAGGGAACCAGGGUGUCACAGAAGGAGCAGGGAGUGCCCAGGCAGGGGAAUUCAGGGCAGGCUGGACUGGAUUCACCUGGGAAUCACACCCUGAGGCACACACAGGCAUUUUCACAGAUUCCUAUGCACUGUCCCAAGGAUGGACAGAGCUUCUCCCCUUCCUCCAUGGGAAGUCAAUCAAGUUUCAGGGUGGGAAUUAGAAAAAUGGAAAGUGUUCCUAAAUACAGAAAAGGCUUCCUUAUGGGCUGGGUUUCUCCCCAGCAGGCAGGGAACAAUCCCGUGGAGCUGCUGGACACUCAAGGAGAUUCCACACUCUGUGUUAUCCACAAGCACAUGCUGCUGUGAGAUGCACCAAUGGGCUCAUAAAGGGAACCAAGAAGUCUCAUUUCAUUGUGAUUUGUUUGUGUUUUUAUUCUGAGUGACAUGUAAGGAAAGCAAUGAUUCAAAGGAUUCUAUAAA